CUGAUAAUAACACAUGCCCAACUGAGCAUUUUCACAUACAUGUUUUUUGAGUUUCAAACUUUCAUUGCACGAUAAGAAGGAAGGAUGAGGCUUGUGAUUGCAAAACUUGGCAUCGUUUCUACUAAGCCACAGCAUCGAAAGAGAGUUGGAAUAUGAUUUAGGUUGUUGUUGGAAGAAAUCAACAUUUGACCUCCACAAAAAGCUACACUGGACCAGAAAAUACCAUUUGCGAUUGAAAGCCAAAGAGGAUCUGAAACUUGUCCGUCAUCCUAAUUUGGUGUGCAUUUAUUUCAUUAACCUACGAGAUUGUAAAAUCAUGUCUAUGUACUUCCAUCUAGUUAUCUAUCAACACCUAAUUUGAUAGUUUAUCGUCACGUCGUAGCUUUUAAUCUCUU
rnacentral:lncRNA from 1 species